GCACAGAUGAUGUGAGUAUUUUAGUAUGAGAAACCGUGAUACUGUAAACGCUUUCUGAUGUG
rnacentral:snoRNA from 1 species